GUCCUCGUAGCUCAGUUGGAUAGAGCGCAAGUUUCCUAAACUUGAGGCCGCAGGUUCGAUCCCUGCCGGGGACA
rnacentral:tRNA from 1 species